GAUCCUGGCUCAGAUUGAACGCUGGCGGCAUGCUUUACACAUGCAAGUCGAACGGCAGCACAGGGAGCUUGCUCCCGGGUGGCGAGCGGCGCACGGGUGAGUAAUACAUCGGAACGUGUCCUGUUGUGGGGGAUAACUGCUCGAAAGGGUGGCUAAUACCGUAUGAGACCUGAGGGUGAAAGCGGGGGAUCGCAAGACCUCGCGCAAUUGGAGCGGCCGAUGCCCGAUUAGCUAGG
rnacentral:rRNA from 1 species